rnacentral:lncRNA from 1 species
AAAAUAAUAGUAUGGAAUGAUAAUUUAUAUUAAAUGAUGGACCUUUGUUUAUGUUGUCUAUAGUCAAACAAUAAAAUUAUGGAUUUAUCUGUUGACUGUUGACCGAAAAUCGACGUCAAGUGGAAAAAAAUUCUUGCACAUGUAAGAAUAAAACAAAGCACCAAUAUCUCGAUGGUCAUUAUUUGAGUUGCGGGUUGUACUGUUAAAG